rfam:Burkholderiales bacterium RIFCSPLOWO2_02_FTLL_57_36 rifcsplowo2_02_scaffold_415, whole genome shotgun sequence.
AACCUCCUGCCGUGUUCGCGAUUGCCAUAUAUUCCUUGAACCAUUUAUGCGCAUCGGUUGCGGAAUUACGUUCGAUGGGUGUGAGCGUCGCUAGUCCGACGAACCCGAAGUUGAACUGACUGUGACCACCUUGAACCGUCUUGGUUCGGGAUGCCGGCAAAGCGGCACAGGCGGGACUUGA